rnacentral:lncRNA from 1 species
AUGCGGUGUGUGUAUAUAUAGAGACAGUGCAUGUGUGUGUGUUUACAUGUAUGUCUAUGUUUGAUUGGUGAUUUCCGGCGAAUACUAACUGAACGAUGAUUUUUUUCUCUAUGGUCGGGGGACUGGUCUUCCCGUCUAGGGCCGGUUUUCCCCUCCUCUUACCUGGGUACCGCUCCAAAUGCUCUUAUUUGAUUUAAAGUUUUCUCUAAAAGUCAUCUCAAAACAUAAUUUAUAUACGAUGUCUUAGUUACUAAAAAUAUAUUAUGUAUUUUUUGCUAUAAUUUAUACAACAAACUUUUUUCUAUCAACAACAAUCUUGUGAUGUGUUAAAAAACUUUUUUUGGGUCCCACUAUGACGUUGCCAACGCCGAGGACCUGUUUCGGGUGUGCGAUUUCAAGAAACUGAUGAGUUGACAAAUUAUUAAAGGGGGUUUCACCCCAUUUCUAAAAUACAUUGCUCUUAGACCGUUUUGGAAGCUUCUUGGAGAGUUUUGAAUGCAUUCUAGCACCCAAUUGAAUAUGCACAACCAAAAAUUGCAGAAUCAAGGAUGAAAUCGGAGACCAUGGGUUUUUGGGUGUAUGGUUUCUUAAGUUCUUAGGGGUUUUUUUAUCCGGUCUAUGUUUUGAGAAAUAAUUAUUGUAAUCUUUUGGUAUAAACAACACAACACAAUUGGUAUGAUUUGGUAUUGUUUUGAACUUUCAUUGUUAAGAAUUUUCUUGCAUUGGGUUGCUUAUUGUUCUUAA